rnacentral:rRNA from 1 species
AUUGAACGCUGGCGGCAUGCCUUACACAUGCAAGUCGAACGGUAACAGGUCUUCGGAUGCUGACGAGUGGCGAACGGGUGAGUAAUACAUCGGAACGUGCCCGAUCGUGGGGGAUAACGAAGCGAAAGCUUUGCUAAUACCGCAUACGAUCUACGGAUGAAAGCAGGGGACCGCAAGGCCUUGCGCGAACGGAGCGGCCGAUGGCAGAUUAGGUAGUUGGUGGGAUAAAAGCUUACCAAGCCGACGAUCUGUAGCUGGUCUGAGAGGACGACCAGCCACACUGGGACUGAGUCACGGCCCAGACUCCUACGGGAGGCAGCAGUGGGGAAUUUUGGACAAUGGGCGAAAGCCUGAUCCAGCCAUGCCGCGUGCAGGAUGAAGGCCUUCGGGUUGUAAACUGCUUUUGUACGGAACGAAAAGACUCUGGUUAAUACCUGGGGUCCAUGACGGUACCGUAAGAAUAAGCACCGGCUAACUACGU